rnacentral:rRNA from 1 species
AGGACGAACGCUGGCGGCGUGCUUAACACAUGCAAGUCGAGCGAAGCGCCUGUUGUAGCUUGCUACGGUGGGUGACUGAGCGGCGAACGGGUGAGUAACACGUGGGUGAUCUACCUGGAAGUCUGGGAUAACAGUUCGAAAGGGCUGCUAAUACCGGAUGACAUCGAUAAUUUACGGAUUAUUGAUCAAAGCGUUACGGAGUGCUUUCAGAUGAGCCCGCGUUCCAUUAGCUAGUUGGUGGGGUAAAGGCCUACCAAGGCGACGAUGGGUAGCCGGUCUGAGAGGAUGGUCGGCCACACUGGAACUGAGACACGGUCCAGACUCCUACGGGAGGCAGCAGUGGGGAAUUUUGCGCAAUGGGGGCAACCCUGACGCAGCGACGCCGCGUGAGUGACGAAGGCCUUCGGGUUGUAAAGCUCUGUCUGGGGGGAAGAUAGUGACGGUACCCCCGGAGGAAGCCCCGGCUAACUACGUGCCAGCAGCCGCGGU